rnacentral:ribozyme from 1 species
CAGACACACAAACUUUCUUUUACUUACGCAGCAGCGGCGCCGACGAGAAAAA